UCCAACAACAAACAAAACACUCAUCGACAUCUCCGACAACCAUCAUCUAUCUGUUCGGGAAGCUAAUCCCCACCGGAUCAGCCAUCCCCUCCGGCUAACAUCUCUGUUCUCGCCGGCAACCAAUUUUUAAAAUUUUUAUUUUCUUUCUUUCACCGAGAUCUCUCGUUGGAGCUUCUUAUUUACCCAUGAUAUAGACGGAAUCGGAGGUUAAACCCGGUCAUGUUCUCCGGCAAAGCCAAGCUUCAGCUUCCACCUGAUUCACGGCGGAUUCUCCGUGCUGUUCCGUUCAGCUCAGCUAUCCGUCGUUUGCAGCUAGGAGCUGGUACUUCCUUGCCUGCUUUAGUAGCUGCACAGGUCGGGGCUAAUGUCAAUCUUACUGAUGAUGCAACUAAACCUGAGGUUUUGGAAAAUAUGAGAAGACUCUGUCAACUUAACAACCUCAACUGUAAUGUAAUGUUAAUCGGCGUGAUAAAUGUGAAGUAAUGAAGCAAGGUAAUUCAUCUGCUCCUGUUUGUUUAUUGUUUUGAAGUAUAUUGAUGUGAAUGUGGAUGUCGAUGUGUGAUGUUCAGAAGUAGCUUUUGAUUUGGGAAUCAAUUUAGUUUGAAGUAGGUUUUGAUUUGGGAACCGAUUUACUUUGAAUGUUCCUGAUAAAUGCUUGUUAGAAUGACAUGUUGUCAAAUGUUUGAAUGAUGUCUGUUUUUCUUUUUUUCAGUUUGAUUGUGUUUCUCUUGUUUUAUUAACGUUUGUAUUGUGUUGUUCGAUCAAUUUCUGUUAUGUUAUGUUAUUCUAUAUAUAUAUAUAUAUAUAUAUAUAUAUAUAUGUGUGUGUGUGUGUGUGUGUUGAUAUAGACGGAAUUGGAGGUUAAAUCCUCCGGCAAAAAGCCAAGCUUCAGCUUCCACCUGAUUCACGGCGGCUUCUCAUUCAUGGCUCUUCUCCGUGCUGUUCCGUUCAGUAAGGCCAUGAGUUUCAUCUCUUCUCCAGUGAAUCCGACCAAAGCUUCCUUUGAAAUCCCAGGUACAUCUAAUCUCUCUCUCUCUCUCUCUCUCUCUCUACACUUAGGACAAUGAUUAUUAUGUACAUGACAAUAUGACAUUACUCCUCCUCCGUACACAAUCAGCACUAAGAAUCGAACAACCACCAAAUCAGCCUUUUCUCUUAACGUCUUCGUUUUGCUUUCUCUCUAUUUAGACAAAAAUAAAAUAAUUUAAAGUAUUGCACAUACACACAUGAGUCCUCCUUACACAAUCAGCACUAGGAUCGAACAACGACAAAAGCAAGCUAAGACCAAACAAUUAGUUUUGGAUUUGAGUCCUUAAACUUGCGUGCUACCAUAAACCACUUGUUGUAAUUACUAGGUAUGGUAAAAAGAAAGAAAGAAAAAAGUAAGUCUCUAUACGCACACAUGAGUGGUCGAUUACUCAAUCUCCAACAGAAGAAUAAAAGCUAGAGAGCAAAUGUUGAAACGCUGCAUCUUGCCAAGCCACUUUUUUUGUUUUACCAAUCUGUAAAGGUAAAAUGCACCACACGUAGACACGGUUACUCAAUGUGGGUUACUCAUUGUGGGAGAGAGUAUGAGUAUGAUAGGUGACAUAAAAAAAUAACAAGAAGAAGAGUCACGCAAGGAAAGCAGAGAGAUGCAUCAUCUCUCGGCUAUAAAAACAGAGUCUGGGGUAACUCAAAACAUCAUAGCGAGAGAGAGCAAGAGCAAGCGAGAGAGAUUCAAAUAUCAAAAGGAAAACUUAGAUAUUCUUUCAAAAAAAAAAAAUGGGGAUCGUUGCAUUCGAGUGGAAUGAGAGAGGCAACAACCAACUGCUGCUGCUGAUGAACAGGGACAAUUGGUAUUCCAGGGCCAUAAGAAAGGUGGCUUGGAAUGGCUCUGAUGAGAACUUGAGUGGCCGUUGUGAAGCCAACCCUAAUUUGUUUUGGCUGGGUGUUUCAAAGCGAGGCCGAGUCGCAUUUCUCGUCAGUUCUACGUUAAUGCUUGACCAAAUUGAUGGAAUCACAGGACCCGAUAGUUAUCCAGAUUUUUUCCUACGUGUAGGUUUUUAUAUUUAUUUUUAUAUUUACUAGGAAAGCGACCCGUGCGUUGCCGCACGGGGAGGUGAAAUCCUAAAUUGAAAUUUAACAUUUGUAAUUCAUCCUAAAUUCUUUCUUUUCUCAAUCAAUUUGAUCAUUUUUAUU